rnacentral:tRNA from 1 species
AAUUUUCUAGUUUAUAAAAAUAUCUACCUUGAAAGUAGAAGAUAUACUUUGAUAUGAAAAUUU